ensembl:processed_transcript
AGCUUCGGAGCUGAUGGAGAGACAGAAAGCACGCAACUGGAAAAAUUCAAACAUGGAAUUCAUGGAUUAAAUGGUCACCAAUUGUUUCAGCAUUGCGUAUUGAAUAAUACAACCUUCUUCCACUGCCGUGAAAUGUCAACAGCUGCUCUCCCACUAGAUAGGGCGUAGCUUUCCACAGACGUGAAAACAUUGCUGUGGUCCAUCUCUAUUUACUGCAAGCAGAAAGGUCAAGACAGAAAACAUAGAGGCUUUUAGUAGGAGAGGGCAGACAUGCUUUAUCAUAUCUUUGAGCUACAAUUCUGGCCUACAGCAGAGAUACAGCCUGGUAUCCAUUAAGAGCAAGGCCUCUGGACCCAGGCUUCCUGGGCUUGCCUCCUGAUCCCAUGCUUUACUAAUUGUAUCGCCACAGAAAGAAAGGCUCCAGAUUUGUUUCCUGGUAUUGCUGCUAUUGGUAUUACUGUCAUUAUUAUUAUUUUAUUAUUAUUAUUUUAUCAUCAUCAACAGCAUCAUCAUUAUUAUUACUAUUAAUACUUUUUUUACAAUUAAAGUACAUUGGUGAAUCUUUAAUGUUCAUCUAUUGAAAUAGCUACAGUGCAAGACAAAGAGAGGCCUUCAUGCAUGGUGUGCAUUUGCCACCUAGCGACCACACUGAAGGUCAGCAUGAUGGAGCAGAACUGGACAAGAAAUAGACAGUCUCAAGCAUCAGUAAUCUAGAAACGAGAGUUGUCAUCAAGCACUUGUGAACUAUUUCUGAUUCGAAUGGUACUCCUGAUGACAUAAGAGAUGUAUAGCCGGUAACACAUCCAAAGAUUGUUAAGAAAUGAGAUAAUGGAAAGAACAGUUAAAUGUUACACUAAAACUUGGGAAUUUUUAAAAUAAAAAAGUUGCUUAAAAU